rnacentral:rRNA from 1 species
AUUGAACGCUGGCGGCAUGCUUUACACAUGCAAGUCGGACGGCAGCGGGGUAGUGCUUGCACUACUGCCGGCGAGUGGCGAACGGGUGAGUAAUAUAUUGGAACGUACCGAGUAAUGGGGGAUAACCAAUCGAAAGAUUGGCUAAUACCGCAUACGCUCUGAGGAGGAAAGCAGGGGACCUUCGGGCCUUGCGUUAUUCGAGCGGCCAAUAUCUGAUUAGCUAGUUGGUGGGGUAAGGGCCUACCUAGGCGACGAUCAGUAGCGGGUCUGAGAGGAUGAUCCGCCACACUGGGACUGAGACACGGCCCAGACUCCUACGGGAGGCAGCAGUGGGGAAUUUUGGACAAUGGGCGCAAGCCUGAUCCAGCCAUGCCGCGUGUCUGAAGAAGGCCUUCGGGUUGUAAAGGACUUUUGUUAGGGAAGAAAAAGGAGCGGUUAAUACCCGUUUCUGCUGACGGUACCUAAAGAAUAAGCACCGGCUAACUACGUG